ensembl:lncRNA
AUGUCUUCAGCCCAGUCUCUGAGAGAGUUUAUCAGAGAGCGGCUAACUGCUGCUGCUGCAGAAAUAUUCUCCGAGUUUGAACAAACCAUCGUCCGCUACGAGGAAGAGAUCGAUCGUCAGCGCAGACUGCUGGAGAUCAGCUGGAAACCACAGAUCAACUUACACAGAAUAGAACUCCCACUGCAUUAUGUCAGGACAGAUGAGGAGGUUCUGACUGACCAGCAGCUCUGGAACCAGGAGAGGACCUCCAGUUUGGACCAGGAACAACCAGAACCUUUACAGGAGGGACCAGAACCUCCACAGAUGAAAGUGGAGCAGGAUGAGUCAGAACCUUUGCAGGUUCUAGAACAAGAGGAGCUCUGCAUGAGUCAGGAUGAAGAGCAGCUUGUACUGAAGCAGGAGACGGUUACCUCCCUUGUGACUCCUGCUGAUGAGGACAGAGACCACCAUGGACCAGAACCAGACAGAAACCAGCUCCUUUUGUCACUGCUUCCUGAGGCUGAGAUCAGAGCUGUUGCUCCUCCAGGGUCAACAGGUGAGGAGUUCUAUGCUGUUUCCCAACUGUGAUGUCAUGAUAAGGGACUUUUAGAAAUUGCAUAUUUUAGGCACAUCAUUCCUGAAUCCAGAAAAUGAAUGGACAAUUUUUAUUCAAUUUUGGAGUGCUUAUAGGGAGCCUAAGGCACGCCCAUCUACAUCUGGACCACGGGUCCCCAGAAGAACGAAAAGAUGAAUGCAGGUCAAUCAGGCUAAAAACGCUGUUUUCUAAUUCCGCUUCUUAUAUGCCACGGAUUUCACAUAUGAUGUCCGUGAAUUUUAAACACUCCUUUUGAUACCAAGAACGUGCUUAUUUUCGAACGGGGAGAAACUGUAUUUUAGGUUUUGUUUGAAAUAAAGUCCAGGACUACAAAUGCGCUUCACGAAAGUGACGUCAUCGAACCAGACGCAGAGAAAACAGAGGGAAAAUGGCUGUAAGUUCAGCGAACUUCAAAUCCCUCCCGCAGGAGAAAAGAACCAUUUUGCGACGUGCCGAUGUAGUCAUGCUAAUUACGAACUUUUUCAAACUGAUAAAUCUCAAACUACUUGAGUGGCGUGGUCGAAACACUCAUCAUUAUUUUUCAUUCAAACUGCGGUACAACAUAUGUGCGAUCCAGGGCGUAAGGUUAGGAAAUAGCGUUUUUAGCCCCGUUGACUUGCAUUCAUGUUUUCGUUCUUCUGAGGACCCGUGAGCCGACCAGAAAGGGAAGAGACUUAGGCUCCCUAUAGAGGCAGUAAAGACCCCACAUGACAGCACAGUGGAAUGUAACAAGUGGUUUUAGAAUCAAAUAUCCCAUUUAAACAUGUUGUGAACUUGUUUCUUUCUGUCAUUUUCUUAGCAGCAAGUAAGAAGAUAACCUGAAGGUUCAUUAUUUUCCAUAACAUCUUUAGAUCAGCUGAUUGUGUUUGUAAUUGUUUUUUUUUUUUUUUUUUUUUUACCCAUGUCCUGUCUGGCUGUGAAGCAAACAGAAUUGAUGUCUGAAUGCUGGUGACAAGCCUUACAGAUUUACUCUCAGGUUGAGCAUCAAAGCGUCUGCUUUUGAUGUCACGCCUGAUACUUAAAACUUUAUUGUUAUUGUUUUUUGAACGGACCAGACACGGAGUCAGAGGUGAAAGAGAAAGGAAGAGACAAAAGGGGGGGGGGGGGUUUCCACAAAAACACUCAAUCUGCUUCUAGACCUACAGAAGGAGGGGAAACAAAAGAAAAGGGACACACAACAAUACAACAGGAGCAAGCUAUCACUGCGUCAACCUGAUGAGGAAAUAUUAAAUCAACAUUGUUUAACUGAACAAUCACACGAUGAUAAAUCACAGUGCAUUUAGUGGCAACCACAGCUGACAUGUGUUGAACGUGCCCAAGUCCAUACUUAUGAUAGCACCAUGUGAGCACCUGUGUGCGUACACACGCUUGCAUAUGUAAGGUUUCUCUAUAGGAGCGUCCAAUAGAGAGUGUGAGGGGUCACAGAUCUGCCCCCCAAAGAUGCGUAGGAGAUGGAUGGAGCUCCAAGCCCCAGAGAUCCAGGAGCUGCCCCAGAGCGCAGGGACCCCAGGGAGACUGCGACCAGAAAAGCCCCUGCCCCCCUCAAGAGGCGCAAUGGAUUGCCCCGGGGGGCCACAACCAGCAGCCGGCAGAGUCCCGGGGGAUAUCAGCGGCAAGCCCACAGGCCCACCCGCAGCCUCCCACCCCGAGCCCGGAACCCAGCGACCCGGGACCCAGGUUCACUGGAGUUUUUGACAAUUAAAAUUGCGCCUCCAUUUUCGAACACAUCUCUUUUAACAACGGUAGUUUCUGCAUCCUACUUCAGCCAUCUCCCCCCUCCCGCUGCGCAGCGGCCGCAAACUCACUGAUGCGCCUGCAGCCUCUCAGAGUUUCUGCUGCUCUAAACAUUAAAAUAAUUAUUUCAUUUUCUGUUCCUCACUUCUGAUUACCUUCAAUUGUGUCUGUUUGUUGCAACCAGCAGGUACAAAAACUAACUUGUUUUUAUUUGACUAUUUUUCUGUCCUGUCUGUUUAUUAUCUUCCUGCAUCUCCUCUCAAUCCUAAAGAAAAACUGCUACCUGGGUUCAUAUAUAUUCACCUCAUGAGUUACCUUUGAACUGCAGUUCUAAAAGAUCUACCGACCGCAAAAACAGCGGAG